rnacentral:rRNA from 1 species
UGGGGAAUAUUGCACAAUGGGCGCAAGCCUGAUGCAGCCAUGCCGCGUGUGUGAAGAAGGCCUUCGGGUUGUAAAGCACUUUCAGCGGGGAGGAAGGCGGUGAGGUUAAUAACCUUGGCAAUUGACGUUACCGACAGAAGAAGCACCGGCUAACUCCGUGCCAGCAGCCGCGGUAAUACGGAGGGUGCAAGCGUUAAUCGGAAUUACUGGGCGUAAAGCGCACGCAGGCGGUUGAUUGAGUCAGAUGUGAAAUCCCCGGGCUUAACCCGGGAAUUGCAUCUGAUACUGGUCAGCUAGAGUCUUGUAGAGGGGGGUAGAAUUCCAUGUGUAGCGGUGAAAUGCGUAGAGAUGUGGAGGAAUACCGGUGGCGAAGGCGGCCCCCUGGACGAAGACUGACGCUCAGGUGCGAAAGCGUGGGGAGCAAACAGG